rnacentral:sRNA from 1 species
ACAAAAGAAAAAAAAAAAGUAAAAUUUCUAUUCAGUUUGGUCAGAAUGAGAGUGAGAAAAGUCAAAAUUGGUAUUGUUUUAUAUGCGAAGAAAACCUUAAAGAAGAUAUGAUACAAUGUUUAAUAUGUGCUUCUUGGGUGCAUAUUGCAUGUGCAGGUUGUGAAAAUGCUGAUACUUAUGAGUUAUGUUUGUGAAUCUUUCUGCAUUGUUAUGUAUAUAUAUAGUUGGUACUUAUUACCCUCCAUGCUGGUACUAUUUAGACUCUUGGGAGGGUAAAUAGUACUUUUUUUUUUUUUUUUUGUUUUGUAUUUUUCUAUUUUAAUAUAAAUAACUCAGUCUUUAAACCUUGUACAUUUGUAGUAUGUGUUGUUGUAAAGCUAUGACAUAAAAAAUAAACAUUCUUUUUGCCAAA